rnacentral:rRNA from 1 species
ACUCAAAUGAAUUGACGGGGACCCGCACAAGCAGUGGAGUAUGUGGUUUAAUUCGAAGCAACGCGAAGAACCUUACCAGGUCUUGACAUCCCUCUGAAAGCUGCAGAGAUGCAGCCCUCCUUCGGGACAGAGGAGACAGGUGGUGCAUGGUUGUCGUCAGCUCGUGUCGUGAGAUGUUGGGUUAAGUCCCGCAACGAGCGCAACCCUUGACUUUAGUUGCCAGCAUUAAGUUGGGCACUCUAGAGUGACUGCCGGUGACAAACCGGAGGAAGGCGGGGAUGACGUCAAAUCAUCAUGCCCCUUAUGACCUGGGCUACACACGUACUACAAUGGCCGGUACAACGGGAAGCGAAGGAGCGAUCCGGAGCGAAUCUUUAGAAGCCGGUCUCAGUUCGGAUUGCAGGCUGCAACUCGCCUGCAUGAAGUCGGAAUUGCUAGUAAUCGCGGAUCAGCAUGCCGCGGUGAAUACGUUCCCGGGUCUUGUACACACCGCCCGU